UGGGGAAUAUUGGACAAUGGGGGAAACCCUGAUCCAGCGAUGCCGCGUGAGUGACGAAGGCCUUCGGGUUGUAAAACUCUUUCACCUGUGAAGAUUAUGACGGUAGCAGGAGAAGAAGCACCGGCAAACUCUGUGCCAGCAGCCGCGGUAAUACAGAGGGUGCUAGCGUUGUUCGGAAUGACUGGGCGUAAAGGGCGCGUAGGCGGCCAUAUUAGUCGGGCGUGAAAUCCCUGGGCUUAACCCGGGAACUGCGUUCGAUACUGUAUGGCUUGAGUUCAGGAGAGGAAAGCGGAAUUCCUAGUGUAGAGGUGAAAUUCGUAGAUAUUAGGAGGAACAUCAGAGGCGAAGGCGGCUUUCUGGACUGAUACUGACGCUGAGGCGCGAAAGCGUGGGGAGCAAA
rnacentral:rRNA from 1 species